rnacentral:rRNA from 1 species
UAACGUAUCGGAUUACUGGGCGUAAGCGUGCGCAGGCGGUUCGUUAAGACAGAUGUGAAAUCCCCGGGCUUAACCUGGGAACUGCAUUUGUGACUGGCGAGCUAGAGUAUGGCAGAGGGGGGUAGAAUUCCACGUGUAGCAGUGAAAUGCGUAGAGAUGUGGAGGAAUACCGAUGGCGAAGGCAGCCCCCUGGGCCAAUACUGACGCUCAUGCACGAAAGCGUGGGGAGCAAACAGGAUUAGAUACCCUGGUAGUCCACGCCCUAAACGAUGUCAACUAGUUGUUGGGUCUUCAUUGACUUAGUAACGUAGCUAACGCGUGAAGUUGACCGCCUGGGGAGUACGGUCGCAAGAUUAAAACUCAAAUGAAUUGACGGAACCCUAAUGUUACCUGCCUUCACCUGCCCCCUCGUUACAAUCUGGAGAGGCAAAGCCGGGGCCUUUCCCGCUCGUGGCUUUCCGCACUCUAACCAUUGUCCGGCCACCACUCGUAACAUUGCCGCCAUGGGCAACGGGAUCUUGCUACCCUACGGGCCAUCAUCGGCAACGAGGCGCCGUGCCUGACCCUUGUCAAGGGGGGAAUGUGUCGAACAAUAUGGUUUUAAUGUCGCGCUUUCCUUGCCGCGACCGGUUUUCACCCGCCCUGGCUCCUUCUUUUUACACCCCCGGCGGGCCACGCUCCCCCCCAACCAUCUGGUUGGUUGACCCACGUCCACUGCCCCACUAACCUUGGCCCAUUUCACUGUGACCCACCCUCAAAAAGUGUUUGUCCCGCCAUCCGGGUCUCGUCAUACUACGCGCGUGUGGUUAAAAAAGAUAUUCUCCCCGGCGCAGCCCCACAAAAAAUUAUCGGCCUCUCUCGUUUUCCUCCUGCGGUGUAAUAUUUACAGCGCCCUGUUUUUACCAGCCGCUAACAUCUAGACUGGCAUAGAUACUAUGUUUGCUUGCUAUAUCUCUACUACAAUCUCUACGUGCGGCGGGCUGCUGCCCGUGGACCAAAAAACAGAGAUCGUGUAGUCUGUUUGAUUUCCUGCUACU